rnacentral:rRNA from 1 species
UGCGUAGGGUCCGAGCGUUGUCCGGAAUUACUGGGCGUAAAGAGCUCGUAGGUGGUUUGUCGCGUUGUUCGUGAAAACUCACAGCUCAACUGUGGGCGUGCGGGCGAUACGGGCAGACUAGAGUACUGCAGGGGAGACUGGAAUUCCGUGGUGUAGCGGUGGAAUGCGCAGAUAUCAGGAGGAACACCGGUGGCGAAGGCGGGUCUCUGGGCAGUAACUGACGCUGGAGGAGCGAAAGCGUGGGGAGCGAACAGG